rnacentral:tRNA from 1 species
AUUUCUUUAGUAUAACAGUACAAUUGCCUUCCAAGCAUUUAGUCCCUCACGGGAAGAAAUA